CUUACUUUUGAAGAGAGGUCCAAAAGGCUUCGCUUUAAAUCCAAACAAAUAAGUGAGAGGCUCAUGGCAUAAUUCAGAAUUGUUAUUAAGUGAGAAGAUUAGGUUUUGGCUGAGAAGUGGGAUGGGUGAACACGACGAAGAAGAGAGAUAUGAGGAAGAGGGCAAUGGGGGAGACCAAUACCCUCUCGACUCCAAAACUCACAAGCAUGCAUCUCGUGACCGUGAUUAUGAUAGAGAUUCAUCAAGAAGCAGCAGAGAAAAGGAAAAAGAACGAGAGAAAGGGAGGGAAAAGGACAGGAAGAGAGAAAAGGAGAGAGAUCGAGAUCAUCGCCAUCGCGAUCACAGGGACCGAAGGGAAAGAGAAAGGGAAAAAGGGAGGGAUAAAAAUGACGACGAUGAUUAUUACAGAAGGCGAGACUAUGACAGGCGAAAGGAACUUGAUAGAGAGGACAGGCAUAAACGCAGGUCUCGCUCUCGCUCUACUUCACCGGCAAGGGAUAGGUCCCAACAUAGAUCAAGGUCUCGCUCAAAGAGGUAAAUCAUCCAAAUACCAUUAACAUUAUAUAUGCCAUUGAUGACAUUGAGUAUUGCCAUACUUUGAGGGAGUUUACUGUAAGUUCUAUUUUAGUUGAUUGAACAGGGCUUGUAAUAUAUUUGAAAAUAUGAGUCAUUUAAAUACCAAUUUAUUUUGGUUAUGAGUGACAGGGCCUAGAUAUCAUGCCGACUUCUUUGCAGCCCCUUUACAGUUGUUUGCAAUCACCAUCAGUUUAUAACUUUUAUAGCUCAAUAUUCUAACAAUCUAACUACAUUAUUAUAUACACAGUAAAGUGCUUCUUAUUAUGAGGUUACAUUUACUUUUGCAAUGCUAACAUUAUUUACCCACAGCAAAAGGAUUAGUGGUUUUCAUAUGGCUCCUCCUCCUUGUGCAAUGUUAGCUGGCGCUUCCACCAUUACAGGUACAUUUAGUGUUCUGUGACUUUUCCAAACUUUU
rnacentral:lncRNA from 1 species